rnacentral:tRNA from 1 species
GCCCACGUAGUUUAGCUUGGACACGUCAAAUUCGUUUGGCGUGAGGCAAAUAGAAUGUCGGGUUCCGGACCCGAAGAUCCGGGGUUCGAAUCCUCGCGUGGGCG